UAUAUACUCCCUCCGUCCGGAAAUACUUGUCAUCAAAAUGGAUAAAAGGGAUGUAUCUAGAUGUAUUUUAGUUUUAGAUACAUCCCUUUUUGUCCAUUUUGAUGACAAGUAUUUUCGGGCGGAGGGAGUAUAAU
rnacentral:pre_miRNA from 1 species